CAGAUGAGCAGAGCCCUGGGAUGUGAGAUCCAUGGCCUGGAAUUCUGGCACCGUGUUCCUGCUUGGAUUAGACUAGUUGCAACUAGUUUGAGGAAGCCAUCAGAACAGUUUUAUACAUCCCUGGGAUCUUUGAGAAAUGAUUGGCAGCACUGCACACACCGUGCUGCAUCCAGAGCUGCAGCUCUUCCACAGAAUGCCAGGGAAUCCCUGCUCUGGAACAUCCUCCUGCAGAACUGAGCUAAAACUGGGGUCCUACCAUGUGCAAAGUCCAGCUUGAUCAUUCAGGCAGAAGAGUUCCCAGUCUCUAAAAUGAAGAUGGCUUUGACUUUAUUGUCCAUCUCACCCCUCCAAGGACACUCCUGGCGUGGUGCAGGGUGCUCUGCACCAGAGGUUUUGUUAAUUACCCUGCUAAUUGGCUUGCUGCUGUCACAGCACGUGACUCACAGUACAGACAGCGACAGAAGCGGGCAACGUGUCCAACUCCAAUCAUCUUCAUGCUCUCAAUAAAAAAAUCAUUUUUCUGUUGA